CACAUUGGGACUGAGACACGGCCCAAACUCCUACGGGAGGCAGCAGUGGGGAAUAUUGCACAAUGGGGGAAACCCUGAUGCAGCGACGCCGCGUGAGUGAAGAAGUAUUUCGGUAUGUAAAGCUCUAUCAGCAGGGAAGAAGAAAGACGGUACCUGACUAAGAAGCCCCGGCUAACUACGUGCCAGCAGCCGCGGUAAUACGUAGGGGGCAAGCGUUAUCCGGAUUUACUGGGUGUAAAGGGAGCGUAGACGGCUGUGCAAGUCUGAAGUGAAAGCCCAGGGCUCAACCCUGGGACUGCUUUGGAAACUGUGGAGCUAGAGUGCUGGAGAGGUAAGUGGAAUUCCUAGUGUAGCGGUGAAAUGCGUAGAUAUUAGGAGGAACACCAGUGGCGAAGGCGGCUUACUGGACAGUAACUGACGUUGAGGCUCGAAAGCGUGGGGAGCAAACAGGAUUAGAUACCCUGGUAGUCCACGCGGUAAACGAUGAAUACUAGGUGUUGGAGAGCAAAGCU
rnacentral:rRNA from 1 species